UCUUCCCGCCGCUGGAGAUGUGGAGAUGGCACUGCCUACCUGCUGCCACCCUUGCCAGACCAUCCAUUUAAGGAUUUCCUAAACACUGAACACAUCUGACCUCACUUCCAUCAGACAAUGCCAUUGUGGCUAAAACACAAGAGAAAUCACAGAUUUUAAAGAAAAACUAAUCAUCAUCAAACUCACUAGUUCAAAUGAAGGUGAAAAUAUUUCUGUUUAUCCUGCUAUCAAACCAAUUGUGUUUUACUUGUUACUCAACAGAUUAGUUUUUCACAAGGGCACUCUGUUGGUAAGUCACACUCCAUAUCCACAUCAAACAUGUAAUACCACCUCUUGUCAUGAAUAAAUCAUCUUAACUCAGUACUUAAGGAUGAUGUGCAAAAGCAGCAUUAUUAGCUCAAAUGCUAGAAGGAUACAGUGGUAUGUCUGAGGAAUGAAAGGUGCAUAAGAUAUGAAGCACUGAACAUGUGGUGAGGUACUGGUGGUGAAAAUAGAGCAGUCUGCCAUUGAAGAAUAACAUGCAUCACUGGGAGACUGGGAGACUAAGGAGGUCUCUUAUUAUCACCUCUGCUAAACAGAACCCUACUAUUUUUAACGUUUUAAUUUAGGUUAGUAUUUAGGUCUCUCUUUCAGACACACAAGCCUCCCUGCCUAUAUAGAUGUACACUUUAUAUGUGACAUAAUUUUCCAUUGCCUCAAAUGGAAAUUUUUAUUCAGUGAUUCCUUAUUCCAAGGCUGUUCUUCUGAAGAAAGGCAGUUCCAGUUACAUGAUCCUAGUGAAUUCAUUAUGACUACAGCUUUGGUCUUUAUCCUGUAAGUAUCUAUACAUGGGCUUUUUAUGCUUGAAUCUUACUUUUCUAGCUGAAUCACACCUCUUUCAGCUUCCAUGAAACAGGUGUGCCUGCCCCUGGUCAUGUGGAAUCAGAAAAAUGGUGCAAAUGAAACCUGAACACACCAGUCCUGUCCCUGUCUGACAGAGAACAGUAAACCCUUGCAACACUUCUUGCCCUGUUUAGGUUUGCCCUGUAUUACAACUUCUUAGAGUAGACUGACAAUGAUAAUACAAAAGAAUGAGGACUGCCAACUAUGAAAAUUCAUCAACAUGGGAGGCCAUUCCCAUUCCAAUGCUAUAACCAUUUGUUUGCAUUUCUCUCUCCUAAGUUGUUAGUUUUUUUCUCUGCCCAAGUGAAUCUUCUUUUUCCAGCUGCAAAGUGGAUCAACUACAGCUGAAGGCAGAGCUACUUAACCAGCUAAAAACCAGAGCAUUUUCCUGGUACAGGGACAGUGUGGAUCCAAAUGCCUAGAAGCUCAGGAAAGGGUAGAAAUCAGUUUCUUGUUCCUGGCUAAGUGCUCCCAAAUGUCAGGUGUAAGUACAACCACAUCAGCUAAUGAAUUAAUAGCAAUAUUGUAUGCGAAGCUUCUGGAUUGUGUCUCACGCAUUCAGUACCAGGAAGCCCUAAACUGCGCUGCUCUGUGCAAAGGUGAGUUAUUGGUACGACACUCUGGGAAUAACAUGAACCAAACAGAGAAAACACAGUAAGAAUGAUGCAAGGGCUGAAGUCCAGAAUUACAAGGAAGGUUAUGGAAGAGUUAGGGUUGUUGGUGGAGGUCAUGAUCAGAAACCUAGUUAUCUCAAAGGCUGACUACUGCUAGGUAAGGAGGAUCUGUUAUCCAUGUCUGUGAUGAUAAGUGAAGAAAUAAUAGUCUUUAAUCAAAAAAGGGAUACUUAGUCUAGAUAUUAAGGCACAUUUUCUUGCAGCAAGGUAAUAAUGCACUGCAAUAGCUCACCUGGGGAGACAGUAGAUUCUCCAUCAACAGAAGUCUUGAGAAACAGAUUGGAUGCAGCUGCAAACUCAUCCAGCCUGGAGCUAGCAGACAGUUACAUUUAGUGCUAUUUUGCUCAGUGUUAGGAUUCUCAGGGCACAUGUAAGGGGUAAACCCCUGAAGUGGAAAGUCAUCCAAACUCUGGAUUACAAUAGGUGCUAGUCAGUAAAUAGGUUCUGCACAUGCCCAAGUGAAGUAGUUUCUUGAAUUUAGGUGUCUGAAGGACUUUCAGACUGACUUUGCAAGCAUCUCCAGAUUAAGUCGAGGGCAGAGAUGCUCUCUGCAAAGUUGUAUUGGACACAGAGUUUACAGCCAAGCUCAUUAAUACCCAUUAAAGGGACAUUGGCAUGGGACAUGCAGGGAGUUUUAAACUUCAGUGAAGCACAACAAGCUAAUAACAAUUGCAUAGUUUACUUAUGGAUGUAAAUUUUUCUUCUUGCGUGUUUACUCUGAGUGUUCCAGAGGCAGCUCCUCUCUUGAAUUCUCCCAGAGUUCAAUGCCCUGAGUGAACAAAACCCAUACCUGUUUACUGUCUGUAUCAUGACCUUAAAUAUACCUGGUUUUAAGGACAGUAUACACUGAUGUGGCAUCCUUAGCCAAAACUAGGGGAUCCAGGAUUACACACAUUUAACCAGCCAUUAAGGGAUAGUAUAAACACAGAUUCACAGUCCGAUUUACAUAGGGCUUUACAUACAAAACUCCUCUGCCCCAUUAGCUGUUGACACACUCUUAAAAGAAAGUACUUAUUAGUGGAUCCCAUUUUUUUUUACAGAAACACAAAUAUCCACACCCUAUAACUAACUUUAAGGAAGAUACAUAGAACAUAAUCUGGACUACACCCUUAUUCCUCUGAUUUUAUUGAUCAAAAAGUCAUGUGGAAUAGAUAAUAUGAUAUAGAUAUUUUUAUAUUAUAUGGCUCCUGAAUUUUCUUGCAGCAUUCACAGCAUUUUAACUGAUGGUGCUAAACAAAGAGGCACUAAAGAAGUCCUACAGCAUCCAACUGAACAAUGUAGCCAGGAAAAAGCAGAGUCCAACUCCCUUCUCUGCCAGAGUUUUCCUGCUUGCUAUCUCUGUGGAGCCUUACAGCAGCGUUAGCUAGAACAGGUGCUGUACAAAAUGCUCUCUGCUUUAGCUGAAGUGAAACAAAGCAGUCACUCAAAGAACAGACAAAUAAACAUUCAAACCUGUGAUAUAAAGAAAGUAACUUAAAUGAGAAAUGGAUGGACUGAGCAGGAAACCAAAUGGAGACGGUGUUACAUUGCAGCCGUUCCACUUACUGUGUGCUGGAAGCCCAUGUGUUGAAAAAAAAGCUUAUUUCUCGUUAGAACUAAAGCACUAACCUUGUCACAUUAUGCCCCAGUCACCAUUUGUAGCCCCAAGCUCCUCUCUCCUCAGCCCCACACCCCUUCUUCCCCUUCUUUGCUGCCCCCUCAGCCACAGAGGUGGGAGAGCAGCCAGCUGAUGGGAAGGGUCUCAUCACGGGCUUGAGGGCAGUGUGUACAAGGGUACUUGCCAAGGCUCUGAUUUUGUUUAGUCCUUUUUGCUGAGAGCCUGGUCUCCAGGCAGACUGCAGCCUGACACCAGGACUCUGACUUCCCUCCAUGGGUCCUCUUUGCAGCUGAGUUUAUAACUCCAGGAGCCACUGCUGGUCCUGCACAUGAGGCCAGUUGUGGGUGGGUGCUGGAGUGCCAGGGCAGGGCAAAACUUCUCAUUAAUGUCUGUGGUCAUUCCUACUCACGUAGCAAUGUUAUUGAGAGACUCAGCAGAGGCUUAUUUAUUGACACACAUUGCAAAACCAUGUACUUUUCCUAACAGGUAAGUUAAAUCAUUAGAGACAAUGUUCUCGUUCCUGUAAACUUGUUCAUUGGCUCAGUCUAGAAGAAACAGUAAGUACAGAAAGGAGAAGGUUUCAAACAUUUUUUUUUUUUUAAAUUUUCUGUUUGGUUUGUUUUUUUUAAUAAAAUCCUAUAAUUAUUUAGUCAACUUUCCAGGAUCAUAUCUGUGUACAGGUUUGCUUUUUUUUUUUUUGUGGUCAGAUAGGAGUAAAAUCUGUGUCCUGUUAUGUAUGUUUUUUCCAUCUACCAGGGUAACUUCUUUCCCUAAGGUACUUCUGAAUUAUACUUUUUUUCUGUUGUCUUGUUUUCUCUGUUUUUCUCCAGUCACUUGAUAGCUUUUUUUUCCUUUUUCAUUUACUGCAAUAUUUUUCAUGUAGAUAUUUAAUCUACUUCUUAAACUCCUUGGUAAUUUAAUGAAAUUUGUGUGUAUUUGGUUUCUCUCCAGAAUGGCAGCCUAAACCAUACUUCCUAUCCUCUCUUUGAUGUUUUGCUUUAGAAUAUUCUUUCGAUGGACUGUUCUUAAAUGUGGAGACUCUAUUAUUUUCCGACAAAAGGAGGAACAAUUACUCUGUCUGUGGAUUUCACAUGGAGCUGGGGAAGACAAGAAAAAAAUGACGUGAAACUAUCUGUUAUAAAGGAAAAUUAAAAGAAACCAGUUAUGAACAGCAGAAUGA